rnacentral:lncRNA from 1 species
CUCCACAUUUUGACGGCUUUCCCUGGUUCUGUGAAUUCCUUCCAAGUUGCUGCCAUCUUUCUACUAAUAAGCUGCCCAAUACACUGUACCGGUCACCUCCCUGGAGCCUCUCACAGCCUCCUGGAUGAUCUUCAGCCUCUAUUCUGGAAAAACCAAGGCUUACACACCACCCACUACAAUGCUCUUUCAGCCCUGUGCUCUCCAGGUGGCCUUGGCUGUUACAUCUUGUCGUUCAUCACCCCUACCACCUUUGCAAGAUUAAGAUUGUUAAUAAAGAUGUUAACACGUUCUCUAGGCCUCACUCCAACCUCGCCAUAGCUGGCCCGCUAUCUGGGGCCCUCUGCUCAAGAAAAGAAACUGCAUUUUAUCAUAAGUUCUGUUGUUUACCGUCUCCUGAUGGCCUGGAGCUUUUGGCUGUCUUGCUUAAAUGUGACUCAAAGCAGUUAAAAAAUAAAGAAGGAAAUAAAAUGAAAAACAACAACGGAAAGAAGAAAAGGGCAACCUCAGCCUGAUGAAAGACUUGGAAGAGUGAGACCUCUCCCUCUCCGGAAUAAAUUGCUAGUUGCCUUUCA